rnacentral:lncRNA from 1 species
GGGAUAUGGUCCAUGCUCAGCAAAAGUAACCUAUUUUAAGAUUUGAUAUUUACAGAACCUGUUAGGAUCUGUACAAUCUAAUUUUUUGAUAGCCUAUACUUAUGGGACAGAUCAUGAUCUUGACAGGAUAUGGUUCGUACUCAGCAAGAUAGUCUAUGCUUGAGAUUAGUUUGCAAGAUUUUUAAUUGAUUAUGAAUUU